rnacentral:rRNA from 1 species
AGGAAGAACAAGCAACUGCGCUUGCUUCAGUAAUGGCGAAUGAACUGGCAACACAAGGCUCAGCCUGAAUGGAAUCCAGCUGCACUUCUGUGCACGUGGCUCGUGUGUGAUUCAGCAAAUGCUGUGGGUUGAAGGAGCAGGUGGCGAGUUUGGUCAGGCCAUGCACCAAGAAAGACCCUGGAAUGGGCUACGACACAAGGAUACUGUCCUGUAUGGUGCUGUGUGACGUGGCUUGGCUGGGCUUUGCUGCCUGCAUCCAAGAGUAGAGUUGCUUGGGACUGCAGUUUGAAGAGCGUGGUGUAUCCUACGCAAGGCACAAUACUGACAUGGAACCGAUAGAGCACAAGUAGAGUGAUUGAAGGAUGCAAAGCACCUUGCAAAGGGGGUUCAACGUCCCUGAAGCCUCAGCAGGAACGGCGGAGAGUGGUGUUGUGGCUAUCUGGUCGCAAUCAGACAGUCUGUCCAGCUGGAUUGGCAGUGCCAUCUGCUGGCUGGCUGCUCUGAGACCAGGGUCCCCAGGACCAAACGUUGGAAUCCAAGCAACCUUGGGCUGGCCCACAGCUGGCUACUGAGCUCCAUCCCAGAUGUUGGAACGUUUCGUGGCAGCUUGUGGUGACACUCAGCAUACCUGAGCCUGAGGGCAACAGAUCAGAGGACAGACUGUGGCAAAGCGCCCCAAGAGGGGCCAUGCAGUUCUGAGAGAUGUGCCAAACCUGCUUUGUCUGAGGACAUUGCAGUACAAUGUGCCUUGAUAUGUUGAAGCUAAGCCAUGCUGCCUGUUGGCUGCAUCGUCUUGACGAUGGCUCACUGGUGGUGGAAGCUUUGCAGAGAGUGUGCAUUGUAGAUGGCAGUUGAGCUUGGUCUCAGGACCACUCUCUGCCCGUCUUGAAACACGGACCAAGGAGUCUAUGGAGCAAGCAUAUCUGAUGGUGUGAUCAGCAAAACCACUUGAUGUGGUGAAGGCAACAAACCCAGAUGGUUCAGCUGUGUGCACAAGGGCAGAGUGGCACUGGCAUGUGGGAAUUCUGUGCUGGAGUCAAAUGCCUCAAGUCAUCAGUGGAUAUUCUGCAUGGGACACCAGUCCUGAAGUCCAGUGGACAGGGUUCUGAGUGAAUGCGUGGUCCAUGGGACCCGAAAGGUGGUGAACUAUACCGUGUCAUGGCGAAGCUGUGGGAAACUGCAGUGGAAGCCAGAAGCUGUUCUGACGUGCAAAUUGUGUAGCCUGAGCGCGGCAUAGGGGUGAAAGGCCAAUCGAGCCACCUAGUAGC